GGAACGCAUGGUAACGGCGUUCUUGCACUUUUUCCAAAGCAGGAACGCCGUUCUCGCUAGUGAUCCUGCAGGACCUGCCCUGCUACCUGCACACGGGGCGCCAGCACACUCUGUGUUCCCUCUCCAGCUGCUGUCUCACAUUCGAGAGACCCACGGCCAUCAGAGCAUUGCCACGUGUUACCAUGGCAACGCUCCGCACAGCACGCAGGAGAGUCGCGAGAGUUAGAGCUGGAGAGGGAACACAGCGUGUGCUGGCCCCCCGUGUGCAACGGCUGGCUUCCUCCACUGGACCACCAGGCAAUCUCCCC